rnacentral:rRNA from 1 species
UACGUAGGGUGCGAGCGUUAAUCGGAAUUACUGGGCGUAAAGGGUGCGCAGGCGGUUCUGCAAGUCAGGCGUGAAAUCCCCGGGCUUAACCUGGGAAUGGCGCUUGAAACUACGGGACUGGAGUAUGGCAGAGGGGACUAGAAUUCCUGGUGUAGCAGUGAAAUGCGUAGAUAUCAGGAGGAAUACCGAUGGCGAAGGCAGGUCCCUGGGCCAAUACUGACGCUCAUGCACGAAAGCGUGGGGAGCAAACAGG